rnacentral:misc_RNA from 1 species
UUCUCUUCAUCUCGGUCACCAACGGCAUUCGUCUCUCCGCAACUUUGCCCGCGCUGUCUCUACGGCUUCGCUGCAACUCUCAGAGAAGGAGAGGAGAAGAGGGGGGGAGGGGGCGAGCGCACUGAGAGUGCCGUUCCCGUAACCAAAACGCCGGAAUCAUCGGGGAAAGGAAACCGAGAACCCGGCAAUGCUCCGCCACUCAAAGGAUUUACAGAUGUGCCGCAAGACGGCCGGCACCGCCCUCGGCUACGUGUGCCGCCUGCACGAGGGUCGCUGUGUCAUUUGCGACCUGCAGUUCAGCGAGAUCGUCGACACAAUGCGCGAGGUGCACCUCUGCGAAGACUGCAGUGUACUGGCUGCCGAAGGUGAAGAGGCGUGCAUCAUGUGCGGCUCUCGGCGAGUGACCGAUGUGGCCUACUACUGCUCUUACUGCGUAGCCUUGGAAAAGGACAGGGAUGGCUGCCCACGCGUGUUGAACCAGACGCGCCAGCAGCGGUUGGCUGCUCUCCGUGCCGCUGUAUCGCAGUGAUUCGGGUGUGGAAACAUGAAGGGGGGGGGCGUUGAGCGUGUGUGCUCGCAUUCGUGUGGUGCGUGCCUCUGCUCCCUUUACUCCCCCUCCUCGCCGAAUCCACAUGGUCUGCUGAUCUCCUUUUGUUCUGAUUUGUCUUGUUCGGUUGGCGCUUGUCUCUGGGUGCGCUUCUCCCGCCUGCUGGCAAGGAUGGCCGAGCCGAAGUAAGGGUAAACUGCACCGUCUUGCAGCGAAUUCCGUUGCUCCAGAGGGCGGCACGGUGGGAGAGCAAACAAGCCCAUGGCGAUGCAGCCGCGCGUCUCAGCAGUGAUCACGUCGGGAAGCUGGGCAAAAUGCGCACUCAACCAUCUCGCGACCUCCGUGACAUGGGUGGAUAAGGCGUCUUCGAACGCAAAUUCUAUCUUCGCAACGUACAUAACUCGAUGGGCGCGCGUUUCUGGUGAAUCGGCCGGGCGCGUGCUCCCUCUUGGCUCUACGCAAAGACAGAAGCAUGGAAUCUCUAACGGGAUGCGAGUUCAAGGGAAAAUAGGAAUGGCCACACAAUUCGACCGCACCGCGUGGAACCAUGAAUGGAGAGAGGGAUGGGGCAUGUGCCGCAUCUCAGCGCAGCUGCGGGGCUGGGGGAGGAGGUCACGCUGUCGCUAAUACGCCAUCCACGCCUGUCCCACCCUCUUUGCGGGACACUGUUUGCAUGCCGCCAAACUCUCUGAAUUUGUCAUACUCUCUACGUGGCCUGCCUGCACUCCUUCUUCUCCACCCCACUUCCUUUCCUCCUGUGCGCAG